rnacentral:misc_RNA from 1 species
UCAGGGGACGAUCUAAAAGAAAAGUACAAGGAUCUGAUAGAAGUAAAAGAAACCACUGGUAACAUGCCCCCUGAGUGUACCCCCAAUAUCGAUGGAGCGGGCGCCCAGUCCGUGCCUCGUGACCAGACCAUGCACUCAUUUCACACGCUGUUCUGUCGACGCUGCUUCAAGUACGACUGCUUCCUACAUCCCUAUCACCCCACUCCAAGUAUGUUAACCAGAAAAAUGCCAGAAACCAAACAGGAAACAGAGCCUUGUGGACCACACUGUUAUUUACAUUUGGUUGGUCUACCAGAUGAAAAGGGGGAGCACUGUGAAGUGAAAAAAGAAGAAAAGAUAGAACCUAGUAAAAAAUGUAAAACUAGAUUGCAAAAUAAGCGCAAAAAGUCUGUCACAGAUGUGAAGCAGGAGAAGACGAGGAUAGACGACUGGAUGCCGGGGGAGGAGUCGUUGUUCAGGGUGAUACAGGACAUGCACCGCACCAACUACUGCGCCAUGGCCAAGCUGAUCAAAACCAAGACCUGUGUACAGGUGUAUAGUUUUGCUCUGAAAGAGGCAGCCCACAUUCCAGACAUCACAGAGGAUAAGAAGCUGACUCCACCCAGAAAGAAGGCCAAGAAAAAGCACAAGUUGUGGUCCAUGCACUGCCGUAAGAUUCAGCUGAAGAAAGACAACAACAGCAGUAAAAUGGUGCACAACUACCAGCCAUGUGACCACCCAGGGCUACGGUGUGACGAAAACUGUCCCUGUAUCAUGUCCCAGAACUUCUGUGAAAAGUUCUGCCAGUGCAGCGGCGAUUGUGAGAAUAGGUUCCCUGGAUGUCGGUGUAAGGCCCAGUGUAACACCAAACAGUGUCCCUGUUUCCUGGCAGUGCGCGAAUGUGACCCUGACCUUUGUCAAAUGUGUGGGGCGGAUCAGUUUACAACUGACAAAAUUUCCUGCAAGAAUGUUAGUGUCCAAAGAGGAAUGAAAAAGCAUCUCCUUCUAGCACCCUCGGAUAUUGCAGGGUGGGGAAUUUUUCUCAAAGUACCAGCAGAGAAAAAUGAGUUCAUAUCAGAAUAUUGUGGAGAGAUAAUAUCACAAGACGAAGCAGACAGGAGAGGGAAAGUAUAUGACAAAUACAUGUGUAGCUUCCUUUUUAAUCUCAACAACGAUUUUGUUGUGGACGCCACAAGGAAAGGGAACAAAAUUCGCUUUGCCAACCACUCUGUUAAUCCCAACUGUUACGCCAAAGUCAUGAUGGUAAACGGGGACCACAGGAUUGGUAUUUUUGCCAAGCGACCUAUACAGGCAGGGGAGGAGCUCUUCUUUGAUUAUCGUUAUGGUCCAACAGAACAAUUGAGAUUUGUGGGCAUUGAGAGAGACACUGAAAUGAUUUGAUCUGAGAGGAAGUAGCAAGCUUAACUGAUGUGAAAUUUUCCAGGUGCUUAAAGUAAUAUUCUUUUCUUCACUGUGCAAUAUCUUCAAUUUUACAAUUUCAAAGCAAAUCAACAGGACAAUUCAGAUCAGGAGACUCAAAACAGAACUGAAGAGUUUUGAAAGUUUAUUAAGAGUUUUACAGUACAAAAACAAAAUAAUGCAAAACCUUUUGUUCCGCUUGAUUUUAAUCAACUUUAUGAACAAUAUUGAACACCAACACCAAAUUGACUUUUAUUCAUGUUGUUGUAAAUUUGUAUGUACAUUUUCUAUUAAAACAUUUCUUAUGUCAAAGUU